CAAUAGCGUAUAUUUAAGUAGCUGCAGUUAAAAAGCUCGUAGUUGGAUUUCGGGUGGGAAUGGCCGGUCCGCCGUUUCGGUGUGCACUUGCUACGCCCACCUUGCUGCCGGGGACGUGCUCUUGAGUUCACGCUCGGGACACGGAGUCGGCGAGGUUACUUUGAGUAAAUUAGAGUGUUCAAAGCAGGCCUACGCUCUGAAUACAUUAGCAUGGAAUAACACGAUAGGACUCUGGCCUAUCUUGUUGGUCUGUAGGACCGGAGUAAUGAUUAAGAGGGACAGUCGGGGGCAUUCGUAUUUCAUUGUCAGAGGUGAAAUUCUUGGAUUUAUGAAAGACGAACUACUGCGAAAGCAUUUGCCAAGGAUGUUUUCAUUAA
rnacentral:rRNA from 1 species